rnacentral:piRNA from 1 species
UAAAGUCUUUGGGAAGUUUCUGAUUGGCC